rnacentral:rRNA from 1 species
CCUACGGGGGGCAGCAGUAGGGAAUCUUCCACAAUGGGCGAAAGCCUGAUGGAGCAACGCCGCGUGGGUGAAGAAGGUCUUCGGAUCGUAAAACCCUGUUGUUAGAGAAGAAAGUGCGUGAGAGUAACUGUUCACGUUUCGACGGUAUCUAACCAGAAAGCCACGGCUAACUACGUGCCAACAGCCGCGGUAAUACGUAGGUGGCAAGCGUUAUCCGGAUUUAUUGGGCGUAAAGGGAACGCAGGCGGUCUUUUAAGUCUGAUGUGAAAGCCUUCGGCUUAACCGGAGUACUGCAUUGGAAACUGGGAGACUUGAGUGCAGAAGAGGAGAGUGGAACUCCAUGUGUAGCGGUGAAAUGCGUAGAUAUAUGGAAGAACACCAGUGGCGAAAGCGGCUCUCUGGGCUGUAACUGACGCUGAGGUUCGAAAGCGUGGGUAGCAAACAGGAUUAGAUACCCUAGUAGUC